rnacentral:rRNA from 1 species
AUUAUUUUAAUUAAUAAGUUAUACUAAAGUAGUAAUAGAUAUAGGCUUGAAACUUAUAGAAUUUGGCGGUAUUUUAAUCUUAUUAGAGGAACCUGUUCUGUAAUCGAUAAUCCACGUUUAAUUUUACUAAAUUUUAUUAUUUGUAUAUCGUUGUCGAAAGAAUAUUUUUAUAAAAUAUUAAUUUUCAAAAAUUUUAAUUAAAAUUAAUGUCAAAUCAAGAUGCAGUUUAUAAUUUAGAAGAAAUGGGUUACAAUAAAAUUAUUUAUAUGAAUUUAAAUUUGAAAAUUUUAAUGAAGGUGGAUUUAAAAGUAAAUUGAAUUUAAUAAAUUUAGUUGAAGAUAGUUCUAAAAUAUGUAC